rnacentral:rRNA from 1 species
UGAUGACGAGACGCUAAGGCGUUGAAGCAGUGUAUGUCAGACUUCCAAGAAAAGCUCGCAAUGUCACAAAUAAAGAAUGCCUGUACCAUAACCGACACAGGUGGGUAGGUAGAGUAUACUAAGGGGCGCGAGAUAACUCUCUCUAAGGAACUCGGCAAAAUGACUCCGUAACUUCGGGAGAAGGAGUGCCUUAUUUAUAAGGUUGCAAUAACAAGAUCCAAGCAACUGUUUAUCAAAAACACAGGUCUCCGCUAAGUCGUAAGACGAUGUAUGGGGGCUGACGCCUGCCCAGUGCCAGAAGGUUAAAGAAGUUGGUUAGUGUAUGCGAAGCUGAUGACUGAAGCCCUGGUGAACGGCGGCCGUAACAAUAACGGUCCUAAGGUAGCGAGAUUCCUUGUCGGGUAAGUUCCGACCCGCACGAAAGGCGUAAUGAUUUGGAUACUGUCUCGGAGAGAGGCUCGGUGAAAUAGACUUGUCUGUGAAGAUGCGGACUACCUGCACCAGGACAGAAAGACCCUAUGAAGCUUUACUGUAACUUGAAAUUGGAAUUGGACUUUGCUUGCGCAGUAUAGGUGGGAAGCGUUGAAAAUAUUCUUGCGGGAGUAUUGGAGCUAUCAGUGAGAUACCACUCUUGUAAUGUUAGAUUUCUAACUUUGAACCAUAAUCUGGUCAAAGAACAGUUUCAGGUGGGCAGUUUGACUGGGGCGGUCGCCUCCCAAAUGGUAACGGAGGCGUACAAAGGUUUCCUCUUAACGGAUAGAAAUCGUAUCUAGAGUGUAAAGGCAUAAGGAAGCUUGACUGUGAGACCUACAAGUCGAGCAGGGACGAAAGUCGGUCUUAGUGAUCUGACGGUACUGAGUGGAAAGGCCGUCACUCAACGGAUAAAGGUUACUCUAGGAUAACAGGCUGAUCUCCCCCAAGAGUUCACAUCGACGGGGAGGUUUGGCACCUCGAUGUCGGCUCAUCGCAUCCUGGGGCGGUAGUACGUCCCAAGGGUUGGGCUGUUCGCCCAUGAAAGCGGUACGCGAGCUGGGUUCAGAACGUCGUGAGACAGUUCGGUCCAUAUCCGGUGUAGGCGCUAGAAUAUUGAGAGGAGCCUUCUUUAGUACGAGAGGACCGAGAAGGACACACCGCUGGUGUACCAGUUAUCGUGCCAACGGUAAACGCUGGGUAGCUAUGUGUGGAGUGGAUAACCGCUGAAAGCAUCUAAGUGGGAAGCCCACCUCGAGAUGAGUAUUCUC